AGCUCCAAUAGCGUAUAUUAAAGUUGUUGCGGUUAAAAAGCUCGUAGUUGGAUUUCUGCUCUGGGAGGGACGUCCGGGCGCUUAGCGUUACGGUACAGUCUGUCCUGAGCAUCUUGCCCCGAUCCCCGGCAUCCUUCAUUGGGUGACGGUGGCCAAGGGCUCGUUUACUUUGAGAAAAAUAGAGUGUUCAAAGCAGGCAAAUGCCUUGAAUAAGUUAGCAUGGAAUAAUGAUAAAGAACUUCGGUUUAUUUUGUUGGUGUUCUGAACUGAAGUAAUGAUUGAUAGGGACAGUUGGGGGCAUCAGUAUUCUGAAGCGAGAGGUGAAAUUCUGAAACCUUUGGAAGACUAACUGCUGCGAAAGCGUUUGCCAAGGAUGUUCCCU
rnacentral:rRNA from 1 species